rnacentral:rRNA from 1 species
GUCGAGAAUCUUGGGCAAUGCGCGAAAGCGUGACCCAGCAAUGCCGCGUGUAUGAUGAAGGCCCUCGGGUCGUAAAGUACUGUCUCCCGUGACGAAAUUUGACGGUAGCGGGGAAGGAAGCCACGGCUAACUACGUGCCAGCAGCCGCGGUAAUACGUAGGUGGCGAGCGUUGUUCGGAUUUAUUGGGCGUAAAGGGUCUGUAGGAGGUUUGUUAAAUACGGGGUGAAAUCCCGAAGCUCAACUUCGGAAUUGCCUUGUAGACUGACGGACUGGAGUACCGGAGAGGUAAGCGGAAUACCAGGUGUAGCGGUGGAAUGCGUAGAUAUCUGGUAGAACACCAAAAGCGAAGGCAGCUUGCUGGACGGAAACUGACUCUGAAAGACGAAAGCAUGGGGAGCAAACAGGAUUAGAAACCCUGGUAGUCC